UACAUGGGGUGCAAACGUUGCUCGGAAUUAUUGGGCGUAAAGCGCACGUAGGCGGUUCGUUAAGUCGGAUGUGAAAGCCCUCGGCUCAACUGAGGAAGUGCACCCGAAACUGGCGAGCUUGAGUACGAAAGAGGAUCGCGGAAUUCCCGGUGUAGAGGUGAAAUUCGUAGAUAUCGGGAGGAACACCGGUGGCGAAGGCGGCGAUCUGGGUCGAUACUGACGCUGAGGUGCGAAGGCUAGGGUAGCAAACAGG
rnacentral:rRNA from 1 species